UAUUAACAACUAUCAUAUUUUGAUGGGACUGCCUAAGAAUUCUCUGUGUUUUAGUUGCCAGAGGGACAGAAUUUCAGACACACACAUACCCAAACCCCCCCAAAACACACAAAACUUUAAUCUGUGUAAUGUAUCUGUGUAAUAAAUACCUGGAUGAACAUAUGUUCUUUUCUAAACAAGAAAUCAGUUAUGCUUUCCUCUAAUUAAACAGCAUGAAAUAACACAUUUCCUUCUCAAUCUUUCUGGCAUUAAUUUAAGAACUUGUUU